rnacentral:tRNA from 1 species
GGGUCGGUGCCCGAGUGGUUAAUGGGGGCGGACUGUAAAUCCGCUGGUUUUCGCCUACGCUAGUUCGAAUCUAGCCCGGCCCACCA